AGGAUAAUAGUUAAUUUAUAACAUUUAAAUUGCAAUUAAAAAUUUUUUUUACAAAUUAUCUUA
rnacentral:tRNA from 1 species